rfam:Camelus ferus unplaced genomic scaffold scaffold1091, whole genome shotgun sequence.
GAGGGUAUAGCUCAAGUGGUAGAGCACAUGCUUAGCAUGCAUGAGGUCCUAGGUUCAGUUCCCAGUACCUCCU